rnacentral:sRNA from 1 species
UCCAGUGCUGCCUGCCUGCUUCCUGUCAGACACUGACCACAGGUGCUGUGUCCUCCAACUUUCCAGGGAGCAAUUCCGAUGGUGGUGGUGGCAGGCCCAGGAAGGAGUCAGCUGCCACAGGGAAAGCCCCCACCCGGGUGGAAGAGAGAAAAGGAACAUCCGGGAGGCCAGGGAUCAGAGGCUGAGGCUUUCCUGCAACAGCGGCCAUAACAGAAAAACAAUGGAUACAUUAGCAACGUCUUGUUUCCUUUUGCUCUGCCAAGCAAAAGCAUGGAAACCUCUGGGGAAUUCACUUGACAAGCUAAGAACAGGAGCUGCUGGCUGCAUGCAGCUCCUCUCCCAGUGCCAAAAACAUCAGGAAGAUGUCAGCUCAACAAGGUCAUCAGUGAGCUGAAUGGAAGACAUUGAGAAUGUCAUCGCCUACGGUGUUGGCAAGCACCAGUGUGCCCGCAGGUGGGGCUGUGGCUGUUUCUACUGCCCGGGUCUCUGCAGCGCCUCCCACUGCCCCGCCCCUACUCCAUGAGCCCCACCCCCAACCACAGCAGCAGAGGGGGUGAGAAGGGGAUAACGCUUGGGAUUUGGUUUGCUUGACUAAAUUCCUAUAGAGCGUUUUGUUGUUGU